CCUACGGGAGGCAGCAGUGGGGAAUAUUGGGCAAUGGGCGCAAGCCUGACCCAGCAACGCCGCGUGAAGGAAGAAGGCUUUCGGGUUGUAAACUUCUUUUCUCAGGGACGAAGAAAGUGACGGUACCUGAGGAAUAAGUCACGGCUAACUACGUGCAAGCAGCCGCGUUAAUACGUAGGUGGCAAGCGGUAUCCGGAUGUAUUGGGUGUAAAGGGCGUGUAGGCGGGAGCGCAAGUCAGAUGUGAAAACUCAGGGCUCAACCCUGAGCCUGCAUUUGAUACAGUGUUUCUAGAGUGCUGGAGAGGCGAUCAGAAUUCCGUGUGUAGCGGUGAAAUGCGUAGAUAUACGGAGGAACACCAGUGGCGAAGGCGGAUUCCUGGACAAUGACUGACGCUGAGGCGCGAAAGCGUGGGGAGCAAACAGGAUUAGAUACCCCUGUAGUC
rnacentral:rRNA from 1 species